AGUGAACGCUGGCGGCAGGCCUAACACAUGCAAGUCGAGCGGCAGCGGGUCCUUCGGGAUGCCGGCGAGCGGCGGACGGGUGAGGAAUGCAUCGGAAUCUGCCCUGUCGUGGGGGAUAACCUAGGGAAACUUAGGCUAAUACCGCAUACGACCCACGGGUGAAAGCGGGGGAUCGCAAGACCUCGCGCGAUAGGAUGAGCCGAUGUCCGAUUAUCUAGUUGGCGGGGUAAAGGCCCACCAAGGCGACGAUCGGUAGCUGGUCUGAGAGGAUGAUCAGCCACACUGGGACUGAGACACGGCCCAGACUCCUACGGGAGGCAGCAGUGGGGAAUAUUGGACAAUGGGCGCAAGCCUGAUCCAGCCAUGCCGCGUGGGUGAAGAAGGCCUUCGGGUUGUAAAGCCCUUUUGUCCGGGAAGAAAUCGUCUGGGCUAAUACCCCGGGCGGAUGACGGUACCGGAAGAAUAAGCACCGGCUAACUUCGUG
rnacentral:rRNA from 1 species